UAGUAGGUUGUACUUCCUUAGCCGCACGCUUUUAUGCUUUCCCGUGUGCUAGGGGGGUCAGGGCACCUCAAGCUGUUCUUACAGCUUUUACCUGCCCUCCUCGUAACUUUUCUUGUUGCGGAAUAAAAUUCAAUUCAAUUCAAUUCAAUUAAUUUUCGCUUACCC
rnacentral:lncRNA from 1 species